rnacentral:lncRNA from 1 species
AAUCCUUUUGGGGUCUGCAGAACCCGUAGGGGUCCGUGGGAUCUUUUGGGGUCAAUAAAACCUUGGGGGCUGUGGGAACUUUUGGGGUCCCUAAAACCCUUCAGGGGCCAUAAAAUCCUUUUGGGGUCGAUAGAAACUGAGGGUCUCUGGAGCCUUUUGGGGGUCUGUGGAGCCUUUUGGGGUCUGGGGGACCUUUGGGGUCUGUGGGACACUUUGGGGUCUGUGGGAUCUUUGGGGUCUCUGGGAUCUUUUGGGGUCUCUGGGACCUUUUGGGGGUCUGUGGGACACUUUGGGGUCUCUGGGACCUUUGGGAUCCUUUGGGGUCCUGGAGCCCUUUGGGAUCCGCGGUGGCCCCGGCCCUCACUGGGACACGGGGAUGGGGACACUGCUCGGGACCCCGCUGUGACCCCAGUGUCCCCAAUGUCCUUCUGUCCCCAGUGUCCCCAAUGUCCCCAAUGUCCCUCUGUCCCUGCUGUCGUUGGUGUCCCCGCUGUCCCCCUGC